rnacentral:rRNA from 1 species
AUGUGGUUUAAUUCGAGGCUACACGAGAACCUUACCAGGGUUUGACAUGCAAGUGGUAGGAAUCCGAAAGGUGACCGACCCUUCGGGGAGCUUGCACAGGUGCUGCAUGGCUGUCGUCAGCUCGUGUCGUGAGAUGUUCGGUUAAGUCCGCUAACGAGCGCAACCCUCGUCGUGUGUUAUACGUGUCACACGAUACUGCCGGUAUCAAGCCGGAGGAAGGUGGGGAUGAUGUCAAGUCAGCAUGGCCUUUAUAUCCUGGGCUACACACACGCUACAAUGGCAGAUACAAUAGGUUGCGAAACCGCGAGGUGGAGCCAAUCCUCAAAGUCUGUCUCAGUUCAGAUUGUAGGCUGCAACUCGCCUGCAUGAAGUUGGAGUUGCUAGUAAACGCAGGUCAGCUAUACUGCGUUGAAUACGUUCCCGGGGUUU